CUUUACCUGCAGCACACAGCAGAAGCACAAACCCAGCUAGAAGACGCCACAUAGUGCAAUCUGAAGAAACCAGACAGACUUCCACUGGAGAUGGACAAUAAGCUUUCGUCCGUCUGAAAGAGUCUGAGUGUUCACGCCAGUAACAGAAGGUUGCAGUAAAAACACACAAAGGAGGGACUGAAUUAAUGUCAUAUGACAUGAGGGUUCAUUGGGGGUGGCCAAAUAUUUACUGAACCGGGUCAAGGUCUGUGUUUGAUACCCCUCGGUAGAGACUGCGGGGGUGAUCGUUGAGGACGCCUUCAUUUCACCCCUGGGAAAAUGCACUGUCAAUGUGUGGUGGUGCUUUUAAAAGUAAUUUAUGAAUUAUUGGUUGAAAUAUGAAAAAGCCAUUAGAACUUAAAGGGUUAGUUCACCCAAAAAUGAAAAUAAUGUAAUUUAUUACUCACCCUCAUGCCGUUCCACACCCGUAAGACCUUCGUUAAUCUUCGGAACACAAAUUAAGAUAUUCUUGUUGAAAUCCGAUGGCUCAGUGAGGCCUCCAUAGCCAGCAAUGACAUUUCCUCUCUCAAGAUCCAUUAAUGUACUAAAAACAUAUUUAAAUCAGUUCAUGUGAGUACAGUGGUUCAAUAUUAAUAUUAUAAAGCGACGAGAAUAUUUUUGGUGCGCCAAAAAAACAAAAUAACGACUUAUAUAGUGAUGGCCGAUUUCAAAACACUGAUUAAUGACAGAAUUUUCAUUUUUGGGUGAACUAACCCUUUAAAAGAAUCAAAUUACUAGAAUGAGCUCAAAUUGAAGAUCGGCCAGCUCAUAAGUGGUUGUUUGAGUGUUAUAUAAAGCACUGUUUACAAUGGGCUGUGUUAAACAUUGAUUUACAGUGAUAACAUAGAUUAGUCUCCUAAAUAUAUAGCUGAUGUGUAAAUAAAUAGUAUAUUAAACUAUUUAUAUACUCUGUAUAAGGUAAAGAGAGUUCACUGCGAGGCCAGAUCUUAUUUUAGAAAAAUGGCUAUACUGCAUUAACUUUAUAAUUCUAAAUAUAAAUCUAAUUCUACCUUGACUUCAAGUUUUUUCUCCCUUGAUAAAGUUAACCUUACUACAUUUUACCACUAUAACACAUAUACUAUAAUACACAAAAUGAGAAACUGAUUCAGUAGAAAUUAUGUUAUGUUAGAAGAAAUGGCGAGGAGUGAAACGAGACAAUAUAUUAAAGUGAAUUUAUUGGUCAAGCACGAACAAGUCCAAAGAGUUGUGUCUGUAAAUGAACAGGAGCUUUUCUUCAGACCGCCUUUUAUUGAAAUCCCAAUAAAGUGCAAAACGUUCUACCCCAGGAUCACACAAAGGUAGGCUAAAUAUUUUUUUCAAAUAUGAACUUAGAUUUUAUUUACUAUUUAAUUUUUAGACUGAUUUUACCUCAUAAAUAUUUGAGUCUGUCAAUGCAAAUUUGUAGAUUAACAAAAGUAUUUCUGUCAUAAGUUCAACUAAAGCAUCUGUCAGAGUGAUUAAUUCAUAAAGCUAAUCUUUUAUUUACACAGGUUAUUAUUGUCAAGCAAACAGUUGUGCUUUGUGGUCUCCCCAUUCUUCGAUAUAGGCCUGCUGUAGAUUUAUUUUUAUAGAUUGUUUCUUUUUUUUCUUUUUUUUGUCAGUCUUAAACCUCGUUUUCAUUCCUCUCAGAAAUUUGACAUGGCUCUACCCUGACUAAGGUCUAUGAAGAGGCAGAUAAGCAUAUUUCUAUUAGGGUGGAAUUGGAUUAAGGACCAAUUUAUAGGCAGAAAAAGAUCAUAAGCAGACAUCUUUUUCAAUACAGCCAACUGCUAAAAAAAAGUUGUGACUAACCGAAUUAUUGAAAAUCAGAGAUAAAUGCGAAAAUGAAUUAUUCUCUCACCAAGUUUGAAGUGAAACGAGAGAUGGAAAGUAACUUUGCAGAAAUGCUUGAAACACGAGAUGAGCUACUGCCACUGUGAACGAAAUGUAGACCAACUUAAAUGAGCAUAUAAAUGUAAUACAUUUUAAAAAUGAUAUAUUGCAAUUAUACAGAAUGUUCAUUUUAUUUCUUUUUUAAAAAUCAUCCUAAUGUAGUUAAUAGUGAACACUGGUUUUAAAACACAUUUUUGAAUAGAAAGAGGUUUUGCAAAAUUAGAACUUAUUAAUGUGAUAGUCAUUUUUGUUUACUGAUGUUGUGUACAUUUAAUCAAAGACAAAACAUAUGAUUUUAAUCAAUAUUUUAAUCAUUUGUAUUUUAAUACAUCUGGGGUUCGAUAAACAAUGUCACCAUGAUCACUUUAUAAACAGAUCAACUACAAACCAUAAACUGAAAAUGAUGCAUUUUGCCAAAAUAGCUUGAAGAUGCAGAUACUCAAUUUAACCAAAUGUAAUUAUUCAAAAAAUGAUUUAGAAAGAGAUUAAAUGA